rnacentral:rRNA from 1 species
ACUGAGGGUAAUUCCGGAUAUUGCAAAGGUAUUGGAAUGUCCUUUGCUUCAAACCAUUUCGGCCUUAGGAUAGGUCUGCGGCAGAUUAGCCUGUCGGUGAGGUAACGGCCCACCAAAGCUAUAAUCUGUACGGGCGAUGGGAGUCGGAGCCCGGAGAAGGGGACUGAGACAAGGCCCCUAGCCCUACGGGGUGCAGCAGUUACGAAAACUUUACAAUGCGCGAAAGCGUGAUAAGGGAACUCCAAGUGAUUAUGCGCGAGCAUGAUCUUUUGCCAAGUGUAAACAGCUUGGCGAAUAAGAGGUGGGUAAGACCCGUGCCAGCCGCCGCGGUAAUACGGGCAGCUCGAGUGGUAUCCGCGAAUAUUGGGCUUAAAGCGUGCGUAGCUGGUUCAGUAAGUUUUUUGUGAAAUCCCAUGGCUCAACUGUGGGAAGUGCAGAAAAUACUGCUGGACUUGGAGGCGGGAGAGGUCAAGGGUACUUAUGGGGUAGCGGUAGAAUGUAGUAAUCCUAUAAGGACCACCGGUAGCGAAGGCGCUUGACUAGAACGCACUCGACAGUGAGGUACGAAAGCCAGGGUAGCGACAGGGAUUAGAUACCCCUUUAGUCCUGGCUGUAAAGGAUGCAAACUAGGUGUUGUGUAACCCUCGUGGUUAUGCGGUGCCGAAGGGAAACCGUUAAGUUUGCCGCCAGGGGAGUACGGCCGCAAGACUGAAACUUAAAGGAAUUGGCGGGGGAGCACUACAACGGGUGGAUGCUGCGGUCAU